CCCUGCAAAUCCUUUCUCUUUUCUGUCAUCCUAGAGAGACACAGUUGUGUGUUUUAGCUGGAAAUGAAGCCACUGCUUCCCCAGGGUAGAGAGGCAAAAAGAAAACGAGGAGAUAAGCCUGCCUCAGCCUAUUUCCAGGACAGGACCGGAUGCCAUGAUCCAAGCCGAGAGGGCGCUUCCUGGUGGCUUUCAAUGGCUGCACAUUGGCUCAGAUCAGUCAGUGCCCCUGAGCACCCGCAGCCCUUCCGUAUGCUGGAGACGGAGAAAAGCGAGACAGACGCCAUCCACCCUCCUGGAGCUGGUGUACAGGGGGACCAGCACUUAGACGACCACCAAGAUGCCUUAGAGCGAAGGGGCAGGAGAAAGCCAAGGCCGGAGAGGGUCACGGCUUCCAGUUUGCUCAGAGAGGCCAGGAUGGCAUCACCUAGAAGAAGCUCCAUCAGGGGGGUGUCGUGCUUCAAUGUCCCCCCAGAAGCCUGCUGCUGA
rnacentral:lncRNA from 1 species